rnacentral:rRNA from 1 species
UCCUACGGGGGGCAGCAGUGAGGAAUAUUGGUCAAUGGGCGGGAGCCUGAACCAGCCAAGUCGCGUGAGGGAAGACGGUCCUAUGGAUUGUAAACCUCUUUAGGCGGGGAGCAAUGCCGGGCACGCGUGCCCGGAGGGAGAGUACCCGCAGAAUAAGCAUCGGCUAACUCCGUGCCAGCAGCCGCGGUAAUACGGAGGAUGCGAGCGUUAUCCGGAUUUAUUGGGUUUAAAGGGUGCGUAGGCGGAUUUUUAAGUCAGCGGUAAAAUGUCCGGGCUCAACCUGGGCCGGCCGUUGAAACUGGGGG